UUGAACGCUGGCGGCAUGCCUUACACAUGCAAGUCGAACGGCAGCACGGGUGCUUGCACCUGGUGGCGAGUGGCGAACGGGUGAGUAAUACAUCGGAACAUGUCCUGUAGUGGGGGAUAGCCCGGCGAAAGCCGGAUUAAUACCGCAUACGAUCCACGGAUGAAAGCGGGGGACCUUCGGGCCUCGCGCUAUAGGGUUGGCCGAUGGCUGAUUAGCUAGUUGGUGGGGUAAAGGCCUACCAAGGCGACGAUCAGUAGCUGGUCUGAGAGGACGACCAGCCACACUGGGACUGAGACACGGCCCAGACUCCUACGGGAGGCAGCAGUGGGGAAUUUUGGACAAAGGGCGAAAGCCUGAUCCAGCAAUGCCGCGUGUGUGAAGAAGGCCUUCGGGUUGUAAAGCACUUUUGUCCGGAAAGAAAUCCUUGGCUCUAAUACAGUCGGGGGAUGACGGUACCGGAAGAAUAAGCACCGGCUAACUACGUG
rnacentral:rRNA from 1 species